rnacentral:rRNA from 1 species
UACGAAGGGGGCUAGCGUUGCUCGGAAUCACUGGGCGUAAAGGUGCGUAGGCGGGUCUUUAAGUCAGGGGUGAAAUCCUGGAGCUCAACUCCAGAACUGCCUUUGAUACUGAAGAUCUUGAGUUCGGGAGAGGUGAGUGGAACUGCGAGUGUAGAGGUGAAAUUCGUAGAUAUUCGCAAGAACACCAGUGGCGAAGGCGGCUCACUGGCCCGAUACUGACGCUGAGGCACGAAAGCGUGGGAGCAACAGG